rnacentral:rRNA from 1 species
AAAUGAAUUGACGGGGACCCGCACAAGCGGUGGAUGAUGUGGAUUAAUUCGAUGCAACGCGAAAAACCUUACCUACCCUUGACAUGUCUGGAAUCCCGAAGAGAUUCGGGAGUGCUCGCAAGAGAACCGGAACACAGGUGCUGCAUGGCUGUCGUCAGCUCGUGUCGUGAGAUGUUGGGUUAAGUCCCGCAACGAGCGCAACCCUUGCCGCUAGUUGCCCCGUCUUCGGACAGGCACUCUAGCGGGACUGCCGGUGACAAGCCGGAGGAAGGUGGGGAUGACGUCAAGUCCUCAUGGCCCUUAUGGGUAGGGCUUCACACGUCAUACAAUGGUCGGGACAGAGGGCUGCCAAGCCGCAAGGCGGAGCCAAUCCCACAAACCCGAUCGUAGUCCGGAUCGCAGUCUGCAACUCGACUGCGUGAAGUCGGAAUCGCUAGUAAUCGCGGAUCAGCAUGCUGCGGUGAAUACGUUCCCGGGUCUUGUACACACCGCCCGU